rnacentral:tRNA from 1 species
GGGAAUUAAAAUUACUUAAAAAUAGCGUAUUUUAGAACUUUUAAUCCGUUGGUCGCCAGUUCGAAUCUGGCACGGCCUACCA